GAUGAACGCUGGCGGCGUGCCUAAUACAUGCAAGUCGAGCGAACAGACGAGGAGCUUGCUCCUCUGACGUUAGCGGCGGACGGGUGAGUAACACGUGGAUAACCUACCUAUAAGACUGGGAUAACUUCGGGAAACCGGAGCUAAUACCGGAUAACAUGUUGAACCGCAUGGUUCAACAGUGAAAGACGGUCUUGCUGUCACUUAUAGAUGGAUCCGCGCCGCAUUAGCUAGUUGGUAAGGUAACGGCUUACCAAGGCAACGAUGCGUAGCCGACCUGAGAGGGUGAUCGGCCACACUGGAACUGGGACACGGUCCAGACUCCUACGGGAGGCAGCAGUAGGGAAUCUUCCGCAAAGGGCGAAAGCCUGACGGAGCAACGCCGCGUGAGUGAAGAAGGUCUUCGGAUCGUAAAACUCUGUUAUUAGGGAAGAACAAAUGUGUAAGUAACUAUGCACGUCUUGACGGUACCUAAUCAGAAAGCCACGGCUAACUACGUG
rnacentral:rRNA from 1 species